rnacentral:rRNA from 1 species
CCUACGGGGAGCUGCAGUAGGGAAUCUUCCACAAUGGGCGCAAGCCUGAUGGAGCAACACCGCGUGAGUGAAGAAGGGUUUCGGCUCGUAAAGCUCUGUUGUUGGAGAAGAACGUUCGUGAGAGUAACUGUUCACGCAGUGACGGUAUCCAACCAGAAAGUCACGGCUAACUACGUGCCAGCAGCCGCGGUAAUACGUCGGUGGCAAGCGUUAUCCGUAUUUAUUGGGCGUAAAGCGAGCGCAGGCGGGUGGUUAGGUCUGAUGUGAAAGCCUUCGGCUUAACCGAAGAAGUGCAUCGGAAACCGGGCAACUUGAGUGCAGAAGCGGACAGUGGAACUCCAUGUGUAGCGGUGGAAUGCGUAGAUAUAUGGAAGAACACCAGUGGCGAAGGCGGCUGUCUGGUCUGCAACUGACGCUGAGGCUCGAAAGCAUGGGUAGCGAACAGGAUUAGAUACCCGAGUAGUC